UACGUAGGGGGCAAGCGUUGUCCGGAAUCAUUGGGCGUAAAGAGCGUGUAGGCGGCCUGGUAGGUCGGUUGUGAAAACUCGAGGCUUAACCUCGAGACGUCGACCGAAACCACCUGGCUAGAGUCCGGAAGAGGAGAGUGGAAUUCCUGGUGUAGCGGUGAAAUGCGCAGAUAUCGGGAAGAACACCCGUGGCUAAGGCGGCUCUCUAGUACGGUACUGACGCUGAGGAGCGAAAGCGUGGGGAGCGAACAGG
rnacentral:rRNA from 1 species